CCCGCAGCCGGGACUGGAGUCUCCUCAGGAUAACGCCGGUGCCUUCGCAGCCGCAGUCAAAACCACAUUAUCUAUGUUAAGUUAUCAUUUGUAUGAUCCUGAGAGGCACUCUGCAGUUCCCAGUAACAGAAGCAUGAACUGUAUUAAUGCGUCUACCAUACCAAAGAGAGAUUCUAGCUGGAAGAAACAAUCGGUGCAGUGCUC